AGCAGCCGCGGUAAUUCCAGCUCCAAUAGCGUAUAUUAAAGUUGUUGCAGUUAAAAAGCUCGUAGUUGAAUUUCGGGGUUAGUAGGCUGGUCGUGCCACUGGUAUGUACUGGUCUUACUGACUUCUCCUUUCUGAAGAACUGUAAUGCCAUUAAUUUGGUGUUGCAGGAAUCAGGACUGUUACUUUGAAAAAAUUAGAGUGUUUAAAGCAGGCUAACGCUUGAAUACAUUAGCAUGGAAUAAUGAAAUAGGACGUUCGAUCCUAUUUUGUUGGUUUCUAGGAUUGACGUAAUGAUUAAUAGGGAUAGUUGGGGGCAUUAGUAUUCAAUUGUCAGAGGUGAAAUUCUUGGAUUUAUUGAAGACUAACUACUGCGAAAGCAUUUGCCAAGGAUGUUUUCAUUAAUCAAGAACGAAAGUUAGGGGAUCGAAGACGAUCAGAUACCGUCGUAGUCUUAACCAUAAACUAUGCCGACUAGGGAUCGGAUGAUGUUAAUUUUUAAUGACUCAUUCGGCGCCUUACG
rnacentral:rRNA from 1 species